UACAGCAGACGAAUCAUGAGCUGGUCUCUUCUUCUUCUGAUAUCCUCUGUAUCCUAUGUGCAUGGCAUCAGUCUGACCUCAUCUCCUGCUGAGGUUAAACCUCCCGGAGCCUCAGUGAAGUUGUCCUGUCAGGUUUCUGGCUAUGCCCUCACGAGCUAUGGCACAGGCUGGAUCAGACAGCCUCCAGGAAAAGGCUUGGAGUGGACUGGGAUCAUAUGGAGUGGUGGAAGCAUAGACUCUGGAGCUUCCUUUAAAACUCGCUUCAGCAUCUCCAGAGACACAAGCAACAAUGUGCUUUACUUGGAUAUCAGCAGUCUGGUGCCAGAAGACACGGCUGUUUAUUACUGUGCACGAGACUCACACUGA